rnacentral:rRNA from 1 species
ACAGUGGCGGUCCCGCCGCAGCUUCCAUUGCGUAGUAGCUAACACCUCGCAACUGGAGAGCGGCGCGGCCACGCCGUAAAACCCCCAACUUCUGAACGUUGACCUCGAAUCAGGUAGGAAUACCCGCUGAACUUAAGCAUAUCAAUAAGCGGAGGAAAAGAAACCAACAGGGAUUGCCCUAGUAACGGCGAGUGAAGCGGCAACAGCUCAAAUUUGAAAUCUGGCUCUCGGGCCCGAGUUGUAAUUUGUAGAGGAUGCUUUUGGUGAGGUGCCUUCCGAGUUCCCUGGAACGGGACGCCACAGAGGGUGAGAGCCCCGUCUGGUUGGACACCGAUCCUCUGUAAAGCUCCUUCGACGAGUCGAGUAGUUUGGGAAUGCUGCUCUAAAUGGGAGGUAUAUGUCUUCUAAAGCUAAAUACCGGCCAGAGACCGAUAGCGCACAAGUAGAGUGAUCGAAAGAUGAAAAGAACUUUGAAAAGAGAGUUAAAAAGUACGUGAAAUUGUUGAAAGGGAAGCGCUUGUGACCAGACUUGGGCUUGGUUGAUCAUCCAGGGUUCUCCCUGGUGCACUCUUCCGGCCCAGGCCAGCAUCAGUUCGCCCCGGGGGAAAAAGGCUUCGGGAA